UAGCGCACCAGUAAUAUCCCUGCAUCACCAGAAGACAAUACACAGUGCAUCAUCCAGGAAAAAAGUUAGACCUCCCAGUUAAACAUGACACGAACAAUCACAUUGCUGCUGAUAUCCCUAGGUGUGCUCCUUGCUCUGGUAACAGCACAAUCAAUACCUGACUGUACAGAUGGCAAAGUAUAUACUCCUUGUAGGGCCGCCUGUCGACCAACCUGCGAUAACCCGAAUCCUGCAUGCAAUUUUAUGUGUGUUCCAGGUUGUUUAUGCCCAAAUGGCACUGUAGAAAAUAUCUGGGGUGAAUGUGUGGAAAAGGAUAAGUGCAGACUCUGCAGCGGGAACACAACAUAUUCCAAUUGUGCCAAUAACUGCAUUGGUGUUGUAUCUCCCCCAAGAUGCCUUAGAAUAGCCUGUAUGCAAGGCUGUGCAUGUAAACCCAACUACGCGCUCCUACCUGACAGAAAGAGAUGUGUCCUUCCACAGGAUCUUCCACAGGAUCUUCCACAGAAUGGCUCCAACAAGUAAACCAUCCCAUGUGUGUCUUAUUAGCAAUCAUCAAAAUUGAAAGUGACCUCGUCCUAUUAUAUAGAGAUGUGUCUGAUGAAAAUAAAAUGAUUUCUAAAAUUGUU